GUUCAAGAGUACGUGAAACCGUUCAGGGGUAAACCUGAGAAACCCAAAAGAUCGAAUAGGGAGAUUCAUCGUCAGCAUAUUUCGUAUAUGUAUGAGUUAUGAUGCGGGUUACUUUUGUAUUGCUUGCACAUUCUUGUACAUUUAAUUGCGAAAUAUGUCGGCGUGCACUUCUCCCUUAGUAGAACGUCGCAACCCGUUGAGUGUCGGUCUAUGGCCCGAGUGGGAGCCUUUAACGUUUUUAACAUUGAAGACCCUCGGUGUUCUGACCGACUGCUCGGCGGUACUCGUAUGGUAUUAAGCCGCAUGCUUUAUGCGUCCAUAUCUGUCACAAGUGAGGUCAAUUUCUGGCAGUACGGACCUAGUGCCGUCGUUGGAUUUGACCAGCUGUUGGGUGACGGUAUUCUAGGACAGGUUCAUACCGGAUAGCGAUGCUACUGCUUUGGGUACUUUCAGGACCCGUCUUGAAACACGGACCAAGGAGUCUAACAUGUGCGCGAGUCAGUGGGAUUAUUAAAUUAAACCUAAAGGCGCAAUGAAAGUAAAGGUC
rnacentral:rRNA from 1 species